rnacentral:rRNA from 1 species
UACGUAGGGGGCAAGCGUUGUCCGGAAUUUUUGGGCGUAAAGAGCGCGUAGGCGGCCCGGUAAGUCUGCUGUGAAAGUCAAAGGCUCAACCUUUGAAUGUCAGCGGAUACUGCCGGGCUAGAGUCCGGAAGAGGCGAGUGGAAUUCCUGGUGUAGCGGUGGAAUGCGCAGAUAUCAGGAGGAACACCAACGGCGAAGGCAGCUCGCUAGGACGGUACUGACGCUGAGGCGCGAAAGCGUGGGGAGCGAACAGG